CCGGCACGGGUGAGUAACACGUAUCCAACCUGCCGUCUACUCUUGGCCAGCCUUCUGAAAGGAAGAUUAAUACAAGAUGGCAUCAUGAGUCCGCAUGUUCACAUGAUUAAAGGUAUUCCGGUAGACGAUGGGGAUGCGUUCCAUUAGAUAGUAGGCGGGGUAACGGCCCACCUAGUCUUCGAUGGAUAGGGGUUCUGAGAGGAAGGUCCCCCACAUUGGAACUGAGACACGGUCCAA
rnacentral:rRNA from 1 species